rnacentral:rRNA from 1 species
UACGGAGGGUGCAAGCGUUAUCCGGAUUUACUGGGUUUAAAGGGUGUGUAGGCGGACUUUUAAGUCCGUGGUGAAAUCUCCGGGCUCAACCCGGAAACUGCCAUGGAUACUAUGGGCCUUGAAUGUUGUUGAGGUGGGCGGAACGGGUCAUGUAGCGGUGAAAUGCAUAGAUAUGACCCGGAACACCGAUUGCGAAGGCAGCCCACUAAGCAACCAUUGACGCUGAGGCACGAAAGCGUGGGGAGCGAACAGG